UACGAAGGGUGCAAGCGUUGUUCGGAUUUAUUGGGCGUAAAGCGCGCGCAGGCGGAUCAGCAAGUCAGAUGUGAAAUCUCAGGGCUCAACCCUGAAACUGCGUCUGAAACUGCUAGUCUAGAAUGUCGGAGGGGGCAGGGGAAUUUCACGUGUAGGGGUAAAAUCCGUAGAGAUGUGAAGGAACACCGGAGGCGAAGGCGCCUGCCUGGACGAUACUUGACGCUGAGGCGCGAAAGCGUGGGGAGCAAACAGG
rnacentral:rRNA from 1 species